rnacentral:rRNA from 1 species
CGCGAACGUUGGCGGCGUGCCUAACACAUGCAAGUCGUGGGGCAGCAGGCUACUACCUUCGGGUAGUAGUGCUGGCGACCGGCAAACGGGUGAGUAACACGUAGCUUACCUACCCAUAGGUUGGGGAUAACAUCCCGAAAGGGGUGCUAAUACCCAAUAAUGAGGAGACUCCAAAGCCCUUAUGGGUGCCUAUGGAUGGGGCUGCGUCCCAUCAGCUAGUUGGUGAGGUAAUGGCUCACCAAGGCUACGACGGGUAACCGGUCUGAGAGGAUGACCGGUCGCAGUGGGACUGAGACACGGCCCGCACCCCUACGGGGGGCAGCAGUGGGGAAUAUUGGGCAAUGGCCGAAAGGCUGACCCAGCAACGCCGCGUGGUGGAUGAAGCCCUUCGGGGUGUAAACACCUUUUCUGGGGGAAGAUAAUGACGGUACCCCAGGAAUAAGGGACGGCUAACUACGUGCCAGCAGCCGCGGUAAUACGUAG